AUUGUGCUAUCUAAGUUGUAGUUAAGCGGAUAAUUUUAUUUUAUUUAUUUACUAAAAUGUUAAAAUUAAAUGUAACAUUACUCUUGAUUACAUUUGCAAUAGUUCAAAUACAAACGAAACACAGUAAUUCUGGUAUAAAUGCGAUCAAACUAAAUAAUAAAAUCUCCUAUAGAAAAACACAAUUAAAUUGUGAUUAUAUUAACUAUAACGGUGACUGUGUAACGGGAGAUGUAGUUAAAAUUACAAUUGGCCAACUGUUUAUGUCACAUAUAAAUUUUCAAAAUGUUCUACGUACUAAAAAAACGGUAUAGUUCUUAAAUUUUUGAUUAAUAUUUUAAAAAUUAACUAAUUAAUUAAUUUUUAAAAAUAAACUUUGUGGAUCGAAUAAAACAAAAUUUAAAAUAUUUAUUAAAUCUGUUAUGUUAUCUGAAAGUUCAAUAUGUCGACAUUAAAAUAAAGUUAUAGUUAUAUCACUUCAUUCAUUGAGACAUCUUAAGUUAAGGAGAUAUCUCAACAAAGACAAGAGGUUUUUUAAUAAUUUUUUAAUAAUGUUCUAAGCUUUAGUAAAAGAUAUCUCGAAAAAUAAAGAAAUUAUUACAGAGCUUAAAAUUUUAUUUAAAGUCCAUAGAACAUUGAGACGACAUAAAAAAAUAAUAUGUCUUCGAGCUAUAAUAACUUCUCAAAUAUGGUCAAAACGGGGUCUUUAACAAACUUUAGUGAUACACGAUAUCUGGAAAAUCUGAUGAGAUGGUUAAAUUCUGUUAUUUACAAACUUUAUCGAUACACGGUAUCUUGAAAACCUGAUCUGGUAGAUAAAUUCUGAUUCGGAAUCAGUGCUGCUCAAUUAUUUACAUAGGUAUACUUUGAUCAGCAGAUUUAUAAAAUAAGAUGUCUUUGGAUUUUAUGACCCAAAUAAUCAUUAAUCAAGUGUAGUUGAUCAUCUGUUUUGCCCUUCCAACCGGCUUAAAGUUUAAAAACAAAAACUAAUAUUUUGUUUUAAAAUAUUAUUUCUUAAAUAUAUAUUUAGCAAACUAUAAGCUUGCUCUCAAAACUCAACUGACAACACAAUUUGAUAAUUAAAUUAACAUAUGCAAAAUAAAUACACACCAAAAAAAAAAAAAACAAAAACAAACAAAUUAUUUCUUGGAAUUUCAGAAAUUAAAAAAAGUACCAAGUUUACGAUGAAUUUUAUUUUUAUACUAUUUAUUUUUACUCUCACUGCAAACACAAGACAAAUAUGAUAACCUUUUUAACAUCUUCUGGUUCAGAGGGAGCGAAACAUAUUUAUUUUAAUUUAAAAUUAAACUGAAAUUUGAAAUGAAAUAAUUCUAGAAUAAUUUCAAUGAACACGUCACCAUAAAUUAACCAAAUUGUUAUGGUAUAUUUUAAGCGAAUACAAAAAUAAAUAAAUAUAAUCCUUCACUUUAUGUUUAACAAUA